GGUGAGGCGCUAUGGAUCUCAGGCUGUGUCAUAAUGGGCAAGCUGAGCAGAAGCAGAGACUCAAGGGACUUGCAAGGAAGCAGAUGGCCUUGCAGAAAAGGGGAAGUUCACAUGAGGUUAGCGCUGUGAGUCAUGCAAGGGCUGACGGUUGGGAAAGGUUGGGACUUUCCACCGACUCAUUGAACAUGCGAAAAGUCACGUACACCAGCCAUCUCCCCCCAUACACAACCAUGGGCUGAGAUAGUAUAAAAGACGGCAGAAAGAGGAAGAGAGUGUUCUUAGUCCCCGGCGGCGAGUCGACAGGAGGACGCAGAGGAAACAUCAGCAGAGGACCGCACCCUGGCGCUACGGGGAAGUUGAGACUUCGCGCCGCCGAGAAGGGACAAGAUCCAUCAGCCCCCAGCCCUGGCUCCUGAUUCUACCGCCGACUCUGCCUCUACUCAACGAUCUCAAACCAACCGCAACAGACUUGGAGAAAAGACAAAGAUCCCUGGAGGGAUGAAGAAUUGGAUGUUCGAAGGACAAGGACCAACUCUGCUUUGCUUCUAUUCUAAAGAGGAUUUUUCCACACAAAGACAAAGAUUCUGAACCAAGGAAUUAAAGACUUCUGUUGCCAAGAUCAACUGCCAUCUGGGUAUGAGUCGAACUGCUCCCCAAAAGCCUCUCUCAGUUUAUUAGUGACACGGGUCAGGGAAGGAAGUUAGGAUAAUAUGUUUGGGUUAUGUUGAUUUUAUUAUUUUGAAUCAGUAUUGUAAUCUCUAAUAAUUAAUCUGUAUGUCACUUACCCCUGCUAAAGCUUGCUUAAUA